AGUGAACGCUGGCGGUAGGCCUAACACAUGCAAGUCGAACGGCAGCCCAUUAAGAGCUUGCUCUUACGGGUGGCGAGUGGCGGACGGGUGAGGAAUACAUCGGAAUCUACUUUUUCGUGGGGGUUAACGUAGGGAAACUUACGCUAAUACCGCAUACGACCUACGGGUGAAACCAUGGCAUCUUCGGACCUUGCGCGAUUGAAUGAGCCGAUGUCGGAUUAGUUAGUUGGCGGGGUAAAGGCCCACCAAGGCGACGAUCCGUAGCUGGUCUGAGAGGAUGAUCAGCCACACUGGAAAUGAGACACGGUCCAGACUCAUACGGGAGGCAGCAGUGGGGAAUAUUGGACAAAGGGCGCAAGCCUGAUCCAGCCAUACCGCGUGGGUGAAGAAGGCCUUCGGGUUGUAAAGCCCUUUUGUUGGGAAAGAAAAGCAGCAGGUUAAUACCCCGCUGUUCUGACGGUACCCAAAGAAUAAGCACCGGCUAACUUCGUG
rnacentral:rRNA from 1 species